rnacentral:rRNA from 1 species
AGAGUUUGAUCCUGGCUCAGAUUGAACGCUGGCGGCAUGCCUUACACAUGCAAGUCGAACGCGAAAGGGGGGCAACCCCCGAGUAGAGUGGCGAACGGGUGAGUAAUACAUCGGAACGUACCCAGUAGCGGGGGAUAACCUCUCGAAAGAGAGGCUAAUACCGCAUACGACCUACGGGUGAAAGAGGGGGAUCGCAAGACCUCUCACUAUUGGAGCGGCCGAUGUCGGAUUAGCUAGUUGGUGGGGUAAAAGCCUACCAAGGCCACGAUCCGUAGCUGGUCUGAGAGGACGGCCAGCCACACUGGAACUGAGCUACGGUCCAGACUCCUACGGGAGGCAGCAGUGGGGAAUUUUGGACAAUGGGCGAAAGCCUGAUCCAGCCAUGCCGCGUGAGUGAAGAAGGCCUUCGGGUUGUAAAGCUCUUUCGGCUGGGACGAAAAGGUCCGUGCUAACACCACGGAUCCAUGACGGUACCAGCAGAAGAAGCGCCGGCUAACUACGUGCCAGCAGCCGCGGUAAUACGUAGGGUGCAGGCGUUAAUCGGAAUUACUGGGCGUAAAGCGUGCGCAGGCGGUUUGCUAAGACAGGUGUGAGUCCCCGGGCUUAACCUGGGAACUGCGCUUGUAACUGGCAAGCUUGAGUGUGGCAGAGGGGGGGUGGAAUUCCACGUGUAGCAGUGAAAUGCGUAGAGAUGUGGAGGAACACCGAUGGCGAAGGCAGCCCCCUGGGCUAACACUGGACC